UUUGAAGGCCCAGGUGAAUUGAGAGGAGAUAUUGAUUUUCUUUUAUCCAUGCGGUACUCAGGGAUUACCGAUUUUCUCAUUUAUUUUUAAAGACUAUCUUUCAUGAGGCUUUUUCCCUCCCUUUCUUCUCUUCUGGUUACCUACUAUUCUUUUUUUCUUAACAGCAUUUGUACCCAUUCUCGUCCCAUAUCUGAAUCCCUCCUUGACCCUGAAAAUUGUAAUUCUGCUAUAGAUCAGAGCUGCUGAAUAAUAGCUUUUACAAAACUGCUUAAAUAAAAUAUGUUCAAAUCGCUGAAGUCCCAAAGGCCUUGAAAGAAACUCUAAUGAGAGGCUUGAAGAAGAAGAGAAAGGACAUAGGAGGAAAAGAGGGACUAGUUGCGCUGCAUUGUGAGGACAUGAAUCAUCCGCAACACCUGUUCAGAACAUACAGCACAGAGCUGGAGGGGACGCGUUCGCCCACUGUGAUAUGCUAACGGUUCACUAAAUACACGGCACUAAAGUGGGACGUGCCGAAAGGAAGAUAAAUAAUAGUUUAUAGACACGAUCUUUUAAAAUGUGCACUUGAAGGAACUAAAGGAGAAAAACAGCGAAAUGUUGUAGAUUAAAUAUGACAGACUCAGGGCAGCCAAAUUAACCUUUCAGACAAAGGCAAGAAAACCUCUCAGCCUCUCAGAGGCUUGUUACAAAUAUUUUUUAUAGGCACAGUGAAUAAUUUUCCACUGCAUUAUGAUCCAACUUGAGAUAUCAAACAUCAAAUCAUCGUUUAUAGGAUGUAUACAUGCAUAAUAAAUGAUAUCUUCACAUCAGGAAAACUGAGAAUUCUACAAUAUUAUGCAAGUGCAAUUCAAUUGUAUUUGUAUAGCGCUUUUAACAAUGGACAUUGUCUCAAAGCAGCUUUACAGAAACAUAUAAACACAGGAUACAGAUUUUAAAUGUGUGAAUUUAUCUCUGUUGAGCAAGCCAGUGGUGACGGUGGCAAGAAAAUCUCCUUAAGAUGAUAUGAGGAAGAAACCUUGAGAGGAACCAGACUCAGAAGGGAACCCGUCCUCAUCUGGGUAACAACGGAUAAUGUGAAACAGGACUCACAUGACCAGGGAUCAUUACAGAUUAGAGAUGACAGGACUUCCUCAACCAACAUGGGAUAGAGGGGCUUCCUGCCUCCCCCUGUGGCCAAGCUGCAGCGAUGAAAAACUAACAGGAAACAACACCUCUUAUGCACCGGGGCAAAUACAAGCGCUGAGAAGGUGAAAGCACUUGGCUCUUAUGAAGAUUUCCUCCCAACCCCAAUUACCACAGAUUCACACUUCGCACAGGCACAAGGAGGAACUCCAAGGUAAAAGAAGGGAAGGAACAUGAGAAUGUAAAAAAAAAAAAAAAAAAGUGAUGGUUUCUUUUUCACACUACAGAUCAAGCAAGUUGCUUUUUAAAGUUUAAAAAAUGUUAUGCAAUUAUUUCCGUUUUCCAACAAACACCACAACACAAUAUGUUUACUCAGGAAAUUUACGCAAAGAAGCUUCUCCAGAGUGUUUCAUUAGUUAAUAGGGCUGUUCUCUGCCCCUAAUAUAAAUUUCUGUGAAAAACCUUCAUAUUAGAUUUUUUUUUCCCAAACAUUUGACUUGUAUUAUAUACAGUUGUGCUCAUAAAUUUACAUACCCCUUGUGGAAUCUGCA
ensembl:lncRNA